rnacentral:rRNA from 1 species
AUGAACGCUAGCGACAGGCUUAACACAUGCAAGUCGAGGGGCAGCACAGGUAGCAAUACCGGGUGGCGACCGGCGCACGGGUGAGUAACGCGUAUGCAACUUGCCUAUCAGAGGGGGAUAACCCGGCGAAAGUCGGACUAAUACCGCAUGAAGCAGGGGCCCCGCAUGGGGAUAUUUGCUAAAGAUUCAUCGCUGAUAGAUAGGCAUGCGUUCCAUCAGGCAGUUGGCGGGGUAACGGCCCACCAAACCGACGAUGGAUAGGGGUUCUGAGAGGAAGGUCCCCCACAUUGGUACUGAGACACGGACCAAACUCCUACGGGAGGCAGCAGUGAGGAAUAUUGGUCAAUGGCCGAGAGGCUGAACCAGCCAAGUCGCGUGAGGGAUGAAGGUUCUAUGGAUCGUAAACCUCUUUUAUAAGGGAAUAAAGUGCGGGACGUGUCCCGUUUUGUAUGUACCUUAUGAAUAAGGAUCGGCUAACUCCGUGCCAGCAGCCGCGGUAAUACGGAGGAUCCGAGCGUUAUCCGGAUUUAUUGGGUUUAAAGGGUGCGUAGGCGGCCUUUUAAGUCAGCGGUGAAAGUCUGUGGCUCAACCAUAGAAUUGCCGUUGAAACUGGGGGGCUUGAGUAUGUUUGAGGCAGGCGGAAUGCGUGGUGUAGCGGUGAAAUGCAUAGAUAUCACGCAGAACCCCGAUUGCGAAGGCAGCCUGCCAAGCCAUUACUGACGCUGAUGCACGAAAGCGUGGGGAUCAAACAGGAUUAGAUACCCUGGUAGUCCACGCAGUAAACGAUGAUCACUAGCUGUUUGCGAUACACUGUAAGCGGCACAGCGAAAGCGUUAAGUGAUCCACCUGGGGAGUACGCCGGCAACGGUGAAACUCAAAGGAAUUGACGGGGGCCCGCACAAGCGGAGGAACAUGUGGUUUAAUUCGAUGAUACGCGAGGAACCUUACCCGGGUUUGAACGCAUUCGGACCGAGGUGGAAACACCUUUUCUAGCAAUAGCCGUUUGCGAGGUGCUGCAUGGUUGUCGUCAGCUCGUGCCGUGAGGUGUCGGCUUAAGUGCCAUAACGAGCGCAACCCUUGCCACUAGUUACUAACAGGUAAAGCUGAGGACUCUGGUGGGACUGCCAGCGUAAGCUGCGAGGAAGGCGGGGAUGACGUCAAAUCAGCACGGCCCUUACAUCCGGGGCGACACACGUGUUACAAUGGCGUGGACAAAGGGAAGCCACCUGGCGACAGGGAGCGAAUCCCCAAACCACGUCUCAGUUCGGAUCGGAGUCUGCAACCCGACUCCGUGAAGCUGGAUUCGCUAGUAAUCGCGCAUCAGCCAUGGCGCGGUGAAUACGUUCCCGGGCCUUGUACACACCGCCCGUCACACCAUGGGAGUCAGUAACGCCCGAAGUCAGUGACCCAACCGUAAGGAGGGAGCUGCCGAAGGCGGGACCGAUAACUGGGGUG